CCUACGGGAGGCAGCAGUGGGGAAUAUUGGACAAUGGGGGGAACCCUGAUCCAGCGACGCCGCGUGAGUGAAGAAGUAUUUCGGUAUGUAAAGCUCUAUCAGCAGAGAAGAAAAUGACGGUACCUGACUAAGAAGCCCCGGCUAACUACGUGCCAGCAGCCGCGGGAAUACGUAGGGGGCAAGCGUUAUCCGGAUUUACUGGGUGGAAAGGGAGCGUAGACGGUGCAGCUAGUCUGAUGUGAAAGGUCGGGGCCCAAACCCGGGAACGCAUUGGAAACUGUUGAACUGGAGUACAGGAGAGGUAAGCGGAAUUCCAAGUGUAGCGGUGAAAUGCGUAGAUAUUAGGAGGAACACCAGUGGCGAAGGCGGCUUACUGGACUGUAACUGACGUUGAGGCUCGAAAGCGUGGGGAGCAAACAGGAUUAGAUACCCCUGUAGUC
rnacentral:rRNA from 1 species